GGGAUAGAGGAAGCCUAUGUGCUGGAGGAAGCAUUGGACCUGGGAGUUAGGAACCCUGAGGUUCCACCCCAGCUGGGCCACUAAGCAGCUACAUAACAAUGGGCAACCUGGGUCUUCUCUCUGGGCUCCUGUUUUUUCUUUAUUUUGAAAAUGAAAGUUGGAUAAUAUAGUCCCUCCCAUCUCUAACAUCCCCCAAGUCUUUCAUGGGUGCCACUCAUUCUAUAUUCAGGCAGGCAGAGUUGGCAAGGGGUCCAGAUGUGUUCGGUAGAGAAUGGUUACAUGACAGUGUCUAGCAUACUAAAGGAAAGACCAGUGGCCUCAAGGCUUGUCUAAGGAAUUAAUAAAGAUUGAGAAUUAGGAGGUGCUAUGGCUUGACUGUUUGUGCCCCCUCCAAAAUUCACAUGUUGAAAUUCAGUAACCAAUGUGAUAGUAUUAAGAGGUGAGUCCAUUAGGAGGUGAUUAAGUAAUGAGGGCAGUACCCUCAAGAAUAGUACUAACAACAUUUUAAAAGGGCUGGAGGGAACUAGCUACAUCCAUUUGCUCUUUUGUCCCUUCUGCCAUGUGAGGACACAGUGUUUUUCUCUUCUAGAGGAUGCAGCACUCAAGGCACCACCUUGGGAGCAGAGAUCAGGCCCUCACCAGACACCAAACUUGUUGGUGCCUUGAUCUUUGACUUCCCAGCCUCCAGAACUGUGAAUUCCUGUAACACAAUCUUCACUUAUGUUUUUAUUAACACGUAAAACAUCUUUACCUCCACUGUCUUCUCUUCAUAAAAAGAGCUAAACACGUACACCUGGCCCAGGAGUCAGAAAAGCUGAAGCCAAACUGGGAAGGUAGAUCAAUUUCAGGCCCACAUGCUGCUUCAGGCUAAUGUGGUGAAUUACGCCAUCAGCAACAGGGAUCAGCUGCAAAAUGGCCACUGCCUGCCUUCUGCCUUCUAAAUCUCAAAAUGGCCACUGCCUUCCUUCUCCACUCCAAAUCAGAUAAACACUACAGAUUGCUACAGAUGAAUGCUACUGACAUGCUAAAGACUAUAUGACAAUUCCUUUUAAAGUCAGACACUCAAUUGUGAAAGAUGUGUGAACAAUCCAAUGAUGGAUGUCCGUUAGUUCAGUGCUGUCAAGCUGAGUUACUACUCCACAUCUCUGAUACUGAUGCUGUUUUUGCAGUCAUGAUUGAGUCGUUGAAGAAAAAAGCACUCUACAGAGUUCUGCCCAACUGUGUCCAAACAAGCAGCAACUUGAAAUAUCAUUGGCUUACUCAGCAGCAUCAGAACCCACAAAGCAAAGAGGUUAGAUCCAUCCAAGAGACUUUUCUGCAGCAGUAAAUGGAUUUGCCCUCUUUAGAGCAGGGAGCACAGCUCCAACACAAUUAUUCUUAUUGGAACAGACUAAGGAAUUUACUUCAAAUGAGGUUGUUGGUUGUCCUGUGAAAGCUGUGUCAGAAUAAAUAUUCAACUG
ensembl:lncRNA novel transcript